rnacentral:rRNA from 1 species
GACGUAGGGCGCGAGCGUUGUCCGGAUUUAUUGGGCGUAAAGAGCUCGUAGGCGGCUUGUUGCGUCGGCUGUGAAAACCCAUGGCUCAACCGUGGGCUUGCAGCCGAUACGGGCAGGCUAGAGUUCGGUAGGGGAGACUGGAAUUCCUGGUGUAGCGGUGAAAUGCGCAGAUAUCAGGAGGAACACCAGGCGGCGAAGGCGGGCGCUGCGGCGAUACUGACGCUGAGGAGCGAAAGCGUGGGGAGCAACAGG